AACUUAUGAAAGCUAUAUGCGCCAAGAGAGAGCCUUGCGUUCCAUUAGCUAGUUGGUGGGGUAACGGCCCACCAAGGCGACGAUGGAUAGCCGGCCUGAGAGGGUGAACGGCCACAAGGGGACUGAGACACGGCCCUUACUCCUACGGGAGGCAGCAGUGGGGAAUAUUGGACAAUGGGCCACAAGCCUGAUCCAGCAAUUCUGUGUGCACGAUGAAGGUCUUCGGAUUGUAAAGUGCUUUCAGUUGGGAAGAAGAAAGUGACGGUACCAACAGAAGAAGCGACGGCUAAAUACGUGCCAGCAGCCGCGGUAAUACGUAUGUCGCAAGCGUUAUCCGGAUUUAUUGGGCGUAAAGCGCGUCUAGGCGGAAAAAUAAGUCUGAUGUUAAAAUGCGGGGCUCAACUCCGUAUUGCGUUGGAAACUGUUUUUCUAGAGUACUGGAGAGGUGGGCGGAACUACAAGUGUAGAGGUGAAAUUCGUAGAUAUUUGUAGGA
rnacentral:rRNA from 1 species